rnacentral:lncRNA from 1 species
UUCCAGGCCGGCAGCCUGGGAUAGCAAGGAUGGACGUCGUUCUUCUUUUGUCGUUUGUUUUCGUCCGUAGUCGGACCCUCCUCUUACUCUUGAUGAUUAUGUAAUGUACUGAUGUGACUCUGAUGUAGCUUGUGGCGAGUGUAAGCCGACUCUAUAUAUAUCUCUUCUUUUCAGUACAUGUACUUGUAACGAUAUCCAUUCUUGCGACACGACGAGAUGCGCUUCUAUCCCUGACGAGGCCCUCGUGCCAAAUUGAGGAUAGGGUCGCAUCUUGGGCGUGACAAGAUUCCCCUUUUAUUCC